UCUGCAUUCAGCCUCCAAAAAUAUUUCUCUGUUUACUAACAUGUCUGUCAGUUUUUUUCCUGUGUGUGUUUUGUUUUUAACUAGACUAAAAGACAUUUUAAUUUGAAAUCAAAUAGACAUGUUUGCAAAUAUAUGUUGACAGAAUAAAUUUAAAUGGCAGGAGAUAGGAGUUGUGAUUAGAAGCAUCACUGAGGCUGGGACCCACCACUGGCUCUGAGGACUGGCUUUACUGAGUGGGGAACUCUGCUUCCCAGCCUAUCACUACCACCAGGGAUACCUUCAUAGAAAUAAAGGAUAUACCUGAUUCUGCCUCAGAUUGUGAAAGAUGACCUAGGUAUUAGUGGGAUAUGUAGUUAAGGUAUGUAUGGGGAAAGUGAACAAGUGAGUCCUCAAUUACAACUGUGUUAUGGGGAAAAGUCAGGAUUUUGGAGCAGGGCAAUUUCCUGAGUAUAGCUAAAACUGACUUUAUUUCCUUUGUCAUUGUAGUUGACAAAACCUGGAACCAAAGGACCAUAGUCAUAAGGUCACUUUGCCUAACUUUCCACCCUAGACUGGAAUCCUGACAAGUACUCCUUUGAACAUUUCCAGGGAUCAGGGACUCUAUCUAGCACAUCUGGAGCUUCUUCAGUUGUGUCUCCUUUCUUGAUCCAGCAAGUACUUCUUGAAUCCAGAGGCACCUAAGGCAAACAGUCAGACCUGGAAUUAGAGGGAGGAAUCGCUGCCCAUGGGAGAAUGGAAUCCUAAGAAUUUCCCCUAUCAGCUUUGAAAGGUCAUUUAUUCUUGUAGCAUGGGAAUUUCCAGUGAGAAAGUCUAUCUUCUCUGACCCUUCUUCUCUACCUCCCUCCAUCCCAAGGUUAGUCUGCCCAGGGGGUAAA
rnacentral:lncRNA from 1 species